rnacentral:rRNA from 1 species
GACGAACGCUGGCGGCGUGCUUAACACAUGCAAGUCGAACGAUGAAGCCGGAGCUUGCUCUGGUGAAUUAGUGGCGAACGGGUGAGUAACACGUGAGUAACCUGCCCUUGACUCUGGGAUAACUGCUAGAAAUGGUAGCUAAUACCGGAUACGACCCUCGGAGGCAUCUCCAGGGGGUGGAAAGAAUUUCGGUCAAGGAUGGACUCGCGGCCUAUCAGCUAGUUGGUGAGGUAACGGCUCACCAAGGCGACGACGGGUAGCCGGCCUGAGAGGGUGACCGGCCACACUUGGACUGAGACACGGCCCAGACUCCUACGGGAGGCAGCAGUGGGGAAUAUUGCACAAUGGGCGCAAGCCUGAUGCAGCAACGCCGCGUGAGGGAUGACGGCCUUCGGGUUGUAAACCUCUUUUAGUAGGGAAGAAGCGAAAGUGACGGUACCUGCAGAAAAAGCACCGGCUAAAUACGUGCCAGCAGCCGCCGCAG